CUGCGCCACCCAGGCGCCCCCAUUAAUAAACUUUUAAAAAAUACAGCUGUCACCUAUCACAAGCUGCUGUGGUCUGAACAUUUGUGUCCUCCCCAAAUUCAUAUGUUGAAAUCUAAUCCCCAUGGUGAUAUCAUGAAAAGAAGUGAUGAGGUCACAAGGGUAGAACCUUCAUGAAUGGGAUUAGUGCCUUUGUAUAAGAGACCCCAGACAGCUUGCUAGCCUCUUCCGCCAUGGGAAGCCACAAGAAGUCUGUGACCCAGAAGAGGGCCCUCGCUUGCCCACUCCGGCACCCGGAUCUUGGACCUCCAGCCUCCAGAACUGUGAGAACUUUCUGGAGGUCAGAAAUCCAAAAUUAGUUUCACUGCCCUACAGUCAAUGUGCUGACAGGGCAAGGACCCCAAUCUGAUAGAUAGCUGCAAGGAACUGAAUUCUACCCAUCACCAGUGAGCUUACAGGAGGUUUGUAAGCCUCAGAGGAGGUAGCAGAUGAGAUGUUGUUUGCAGCCUUGUGAGACUCUCAACAGAAAGAAGACUUAGUCAAGAUGUGCCUGGAGUCCAGACCCUUAGAAACUGUGAGUUAAUAAAUCGGUGUUUUAAGUC